UGGACAGUGCCACAACCUUUGGCUUGGUGUAAAAUGUGAUGCCCCAUCGCCACCUUCUGACCUAACUUCUUCUCAGCUCUGUGACUACUUCAAGAGGGGCAUUCCUGUGUGGAGGUGUGCCAGGCAGCUCGUUUUACCUGUGAACUUGCGUACUUUCACUUCAUCAACAACAAAGACCACCAUGGCUGGUUCAACACCUGCAAGACUGAAGGUGAUUUUAGGAGAGAACAACAUUGAAAAGCUGACUCUUCCAAAUGGCAUCCCAGAGUCACUUGAAGACCUUCUCAGCACGAUAAAGACUACCUUUGGGUUAAAAGGUAACUUCAGACUGCAAUACAUGGACCAAGACUUUGGCAACGACUUCUUCAAUCUGAAUUCUACCACCGAACUUCGGAAUUUGGGGACAAUCAAAGUGAUCCACCAGCAAACAAAUCCACCUUUGAUCAGUGCCGAUCAGUCCACUUCAUCUCUGUCUCUUUCAUUUGAGUCUGAUGACGGUAUUUCGGUGGCAUCAAAUGACACAAUUAUCCUCUCAUCCCCUGAAUCUAUGUCAUCUCGAACACAACAGUGGCCAGAAGACUUUGCAAUUCCCCAAUUUUCAUAUGACACAGAGCUACAGCUAGAGAGGGGAAUACUGAGUACCGUGUGAGCCAAAAAAUGUUGACUUUAAGCGCCCGAAUGCUGUCUGAUAUCCUGAAAAGAGUUGCAGAAGAAAUUUACCGUUACAAGGCCUAUCCAGAGGAUGCACAUUUCUGCGCAGCUGCAGAGGCCCUUAUCAAAAAGCACCCAUGUUUGAAAGAACCUGGAUCAUUCAAUGGCUGCUACGGUUGGAAACAACGACUGAAGUACAAAAUGGCAAACUACAGGACCCAGCUCAAAUUACAGGGGUGUCCAGAGCUGUGUGUAAACUCACUGAAAUCUAAAGCUACUACAGAUGCUUUCCCUGCUAAAAAAGUGAAGAAGCCAAAACGUUCUGAAGCUAACUUUUAUCCAUCCUUUCCUACUGGUGAGACUCUGGACAGCAUGGAAAAAGUGAGACUAGAACUUCUGACAGAGAUCGGGAUAAGGGACAAUGAAAGGGUCAUCGCAGACAAAAUGGCUAACACGUUUACCUACAGACGACAUGAGGUGGUAAACCAAGAACCAAGCAUUCAGGAACUGAAGGACAGAUAGCCUGCACUCUUCACACAGAAAGAGAUAAAUACAGAGUUCCAGAGGCUCAUGGCUGUUCCUCUUGAGUGGAAGUUCAUGGCCCAGUUAGACAUGCACUCAAGUCAGCUGAUCAAAGUCAUACGUGCCAAAGGAGGAGCAACACGCCAAAAGAUUGCGAACAUCAUGGACACAUUGGACCAGGUAAAUCUGUACCAUCAAACAAGAUACUUCGUAACUAAGA